rnacentral:rRNA from 1 species
UCGGGAAUUUUGGGCAAUGGGCGAAAGCCUGACCCAGCAACGCCGCGUGAAGGAUGAAGUAUUUCGGUAUGUAAACUUCGAAAGAAUAGGAAGAAUAAAUGACGGUACUAUUUAUAAGGUCCGGCUAACUACGUGCCAGCAGCCGCGGUAAUACGUAGGGACCAAGCGUUGUUCGGAUUUACUGGGCGUAAAGGGCGCGUAGGCGGCAAUUCAAGUCAUCUGUGAAAUCUCCGGGCUUAACUCGGAACGGUCAGAUGAUACUGCUUUGCUAGAGUGCAGACGGGGCAAUCGGAAUUCUUGGUGUAGCGGUGAAAUGCGUAGAUAUCAAGAGGAACACCUGAGGUGAAGACGGGUUGCUGGGCUGACACUGACGCUGAGGCGCGAAAGCCAGGGGAGCAAACGGGAUUAGAUACCCUAGUAGUCCCUGAGCGGGCUGGCAAGGCGCAU